AGCGGGAGCUCACCCCGUCGCGGGGAUUCGAACUGCCGACCUUCUGAUCAGCAAGCCCUAGGCUCUGUGGCCACCCGUGUCCCUACGGAAAAAGCCUAUCGCAGACCAAAUCCCCCUCCCAAACCUGGUAUGUAAGGGCUUCCGGUUUUUCCGCCCUCCGUUGUGGAUGUGCUUUGCGGGUUCUCCGUGCCUAGCAGCUGUUAGAGGGAACUUUGGGGGGCAACGCGGAGGCUACACGACCCUCAAAAAGGCUCUGGGCGUGGCCCAGGGCUGACAUUGUCCGGCAGCGUCAAAAAAGGAACCCUUCGAAGCCCACGUCCUAAGCAGGAGGUGAGUCGACAGAGAGUACCUAGACGCAAGGACACGAGCAAUCCUCAGCAGCAAGCCUCAAAGUCCCAAACGGUAAGAACGGCAGCUAACAAGGAGAGCUUGAGGAGAAGAGGGUCUGUGAGACUUAUUUAUACAAACUGAACUGCUCAGAAACAGACCCGAAAGGCUAGCACAUAAAGAGUAAAGAACGGGAGAUUUUAUCUUAAACAUAUUGGAAAUCUUUCUCAUUAUACGUAACCAUAAGCAAAGAUUUCUCUAACAAGUACCAGUAAGAAAAGGAAGACAGAUUCAAAUUUCACUCUGCAGCAGCAGUAGUAGCCCAUUAAAAGAAGCGGAAUUCAAGGACUUAACUUGUUUUUUACUUUGAAGUGGCGUGAGCCCAGCGAAAGAGACUGAGUUAAAAGAUUUGGAUUGUCAGCGCUGUUUGUGGUAAAAGAGUGGAAGUUACUGGAAAACAAAGGUAAAAGAGAAGGCAACACUUUUAAUAUUGAACUUAUAUUAAACACUAACCUAUAAAGAUGGCAAAGAUGGCGUAGCGUGGUCUAGGAGAAGGAGGAGGUGGUUUGUGAGAAAGGAAAUACGUUUUCUGGUGUAAUGAAGAGACUUUCUUCAUCUAAAGUAUAAGUAGGAUUCCUAAUUCCUUCUGCAUUCUGUUUCUUUUACUAUCCCUCAAGAUUCAGAAACGUAGGGAACCAUGUCAUGGUUAAAUUAGUUUAUAAAGAUUGGCUGCGUGAGCUGCUGGUCUCCUGCUGUCACGUGCCAAAGAUCCAUCCCCUGGUCUGUGAGGAGGAGGAGGAGGAAGAGAUAUUGGAAGAGAAAUGGGAGGAUGAAGUGAUGGUUAUGAAGAUCAGAAGGAAUCUUUAGUGAAGGUGAAAAUAAUUUCUCAUACCGAUAUAUAGAUGGGGAGUGUUGAUCUUUAUUCAUCAGGAACAGGGAGGCCAGAGAAAAUCCCGCUCGCUGGGGAGCGGGGAGGCAGCUCCCUCAUUCAAGAAGAAUUCAGGGAUUGGAUGAGGACUUUGGGAUGAGAAACUAUUUGAGGAUAGUUCAGACGAGAGGAGGAAGAUUUUGAGGAAGCAAACAUGUUUUUUAGCGCAACGAAUUGACUUUCUUCAUCUAAAGCAUUCUGCAGUCUGAGAAGGCUGGGUGAGCUGCUGGUCUCCUGCUGUCGUGCCACAAAAAUCCAUCCCCUGGUCUGUGAGGAGGAGGACACAGUGAGUGUAAUGAAGGAUGGAAAGGAAAGAAGGGUAAAGGUGAGAACGAUCUACGAUCUACGUAAGGCCAAGGGACCAGAGGAUGGAUACCACAGAUGCUACUACCAAUGGCGGUGCUUUUUCCUACGUUUGUGAGCAUGAGUGGAAAUCCUGAGUCUCGCUGCAGGAGUCGACAGUUUGGCUCCUUCCCUUGUUGUUGCUCCUAGAUGGAAGUGCGCAUGUGCGAAGACAAGACAGAGACUUCCAAACUGGAUCAAUAAACGUGUCACCCGUUGUCUGAAAACCACUGUCCUAAUCACAUGCCAGUUUGUCUU